rnacentral:tRNA from 1 species
GAAUGGAUGGUCGAGUGGCCAAAAGUGCUGCGUUAAGGCCGCAGUGUACUUCGGUGUUCGUCGGUUCGAAUCCUACUCCAGUCA